GGUAGCAAGAGGAAGAAAGAGAGGGCUUAAGAGCAGUGGGAGUGAUAACAUAGAGGAAAUCCUAACUUAUUGGUUCUUCACCUCUAGUAUUGAGGUGGCAAUUCAGUUUGGUAUUUCCCUAUGUGUCUCAUUCCUAUCGUUCUUAGGCACUCCUUCCUCUUCCUUUUUGUU
rfam:Triticum urartu cultivar G1812 contig780039, whole genome shotgun sequence.